GGGGGCGUGACGAAACUGGCAACCGUAGAGGGCUUAAAACCCUCGGUCCGAAAGGACUUGCAGGUUCGAAUCCUGCCGCCCCUACCA
rnacentral:tRNA from 1 species